rnacentral:rRNA from 1 species
GACGAACGGUGGCGGCGUGCCUAAUACAUGCAAGUCGAACGCUUUUUCUUUCACCGGAGCUUGCUCCACCGAAAGAAAAAGAGUGGCGAACGGGUGAGUAACACGUGGGUAACCUGCCCAUCAGAAGGGGAUAACACUUGGAAACAGGUGCUAAUACCGUAUAACAAGUAAAACCGCAUGGUUUUACUUUGAAAGGCGCUUUUGCGUCACUGAUGGAUGGACCCGCGGUGCAUUAGCUAGUUGGUGAGGUAACGGCUCACCAAGGCAACGAUGCAUAGCCGACCUGAGAGGGUGAUCGGCCACAUUGGGACUGAGACACGGCCCAAACUCCUACGGGAGGCAGCAGUAGGGAAUCUUCGGCAAUGGACGAAAGUCUGACCGAGCAACGCCGCGUGAGUGAAGAAGGUUUUCGGAUCGUAAAACUCUGUUGUUAGAGAAGAACAAGGAUGAGAGUAAAAAGUUCAUCCCUUGACGGUAUCUAACCAGAAAGCCACGGCUAACUACGUGCCAGCAGCCGCGGUAAUACGUAGGUGGCAAGCGUUGUCCGGAUUUAUUGGGCGUAAAGCGAGCGCAGGCGGUUUCUUAAGUCUGAUGUGAAAGCCCCCGGCUCAACCGGGGAGGGUCAUUGGAAACUGGGAAACUUGAGUGCAGAAGAGGAGAGUGGAAUUCCAUGUGUAGCGGUGAAAUGCGUAGAUAUAUGGAGGAACACCAGUGGCGAAGGCGGCUCUCUGGUCUGUAACUGACGCUGAGGCUCGAAAGCGUGGGGAGCAAACAGGAU